rnacentral:rRNA from 1 species
UAGCUGGUCUGAGAGGGUGACCGGCCACACUGGGACUGAGACACGGCCAACAUUCCUACGGGAGGCAGCAGUGGGGAAUAUUGCACAAUGGACGAAAGUCUGAUGCAGCAACGCCGCGUGAGGGACGAAGGCCUUCGGGUUGUAAACCUCUUUUAGCAGGGAAGAAGCGAAAGUGACGGUACCUGCAGAAAAAGCACCGGCUAACUACGUGCCAGCAGCCGCGGUAAUACGUAGGGUGCAAGCGUUGUCCGGAAUUAUUGGGCGUAAAGAGCUCGUAGGCGGUUUGUCGCGUCUGCUGUGAAAUUUCUAGGCUCAACCUCGAACUUGCAGUGGGUACGGGCAGGCUAGAGUGCAGUAGGGGAGACUGGAAUUCCU